rnacentral:rRNA from 1 species
GACGAACCGUGCGAACGUUGUUCGGAAUCACUGGGCUUAAAGGGCGCGUAGGCGGGUCACCAAGUCCGGGGUGAAAGCUUUCGGCUUAACCGGAAAAGGGCCUUGGAUACUGGUGGUCUCGAGGGAGGUAGGGGUCUGCGGAACUUCUGGUGGAGCGGUGAAAUGCGUUGAUAUCAGAAGGAACGCCGGUGGCGAAAGCGGCGGACUGGACCUCUUCUGACGCUGAGGCGCGAAAGCCAGGGAAGCAAACGGG